CCUACGGGAGGCAGCAGUGGGGAAUAUUGCGCAAUGGGCGAAAGCCUGACGCAGCGACGCCGCGUGAGGGAUGAAGGUCUUCGGAUCGUAAACCUCUGUCAGCAGGGAAGAACGGUCACUGUGCUAAUCAGCAGUGAAUUGACGGUACCUGCAAAGGAAGCACCGGCUAACUCCGGGCCAGCAGCCGCGGUAAUACGGAGGGUGCGAGCGUUAAUCGGAAUUACUGGGCGUAAAGCGGUCGUAGGCGGUAUGUCAAGUCAAGGGUGAAAUCCCCGCGCGCAACGUGGGAACUGCCUUUGAAACUGGCAAACUGGAGUGGGUGAGAGGAUAGUGGAAUUCCAGGUGUAGGAGUGAAAGCCGUAGAUAUCUGGAGGAACAUCAGUGGCGAAGGCGACUAUCUGGCACAUAACUGACGCUGAGGAGCGAAAGCGUGGGUAGCAAACAGGAUUAGAUACCCUAGUAGUC
rnacentral:rRNA from 1 species